rnacentral:rRNA from 1 species
UACAGAGGGGGCAAGCGUUGUUCGGAAUUACUGGGCGUAAAGGGCGCGUAGGCGGCCUGCUAAGUCGAACGUGAAAUCCCUGGGCUCAACCCAGGAACUGCGUCCGAUACUGGUUGGCUUGAAUCCGGGAGAGGGAUGUGGAAUUCCAGGUGUAGCGGUGAAAUGCGCAGAUAUCGGGAGGAACACCCGUAGCGAAGGCGGCACUCUGGGCCGGUACUGACGCUGAGGAGCGAAAGCGUGGGGAGCAAACAGG